UUACUAAUACUGUCAGCUAAGUGGCGCACGGGUGAGUAAUAUAUAGGUAACGUGCCCUAGAGAAGAGGAUAACAUCUGGAAACGGUUGCUAAGACUCUAUAUGCCUUUAAGACAUAAGUCUGCAAGGGAAAUAUUUAUAGCUCUAGGAUCGACCUGUACGGUAUCAGCUUGUUGGUGAGGUAAUGGCUCACCAAGGCAAUGACACCUAACUGGUUUGAGAGGAUGAUCAGUCACACUGGAACUGAGACACGGUCCAGACUCCUACGGGAGGCAGCAUUGGGGAAUAUUGCACAAUGGACGAAAGUCUGAUGCAGCAACGCCGCGUGGAGGAUGACACAUUUCGGUGCGUAAACUCCUUUUAUAUAGGAAGAUAAUGACGGUACUAUAUGAAUAAGCGCCGGCUAACUCCGUGCCAGC
rnacentral:rRNA from 1 species